ACACUUGCCAAAUUCCCCUAUACCUGUAAAAAAAAUGUUGGGUAGCACUCAUGAGUACUUGCUGUGCUGAUUUGCCUUCAAACUGGUUUGAUUUUUAAUUUUUUUUUUUUUGUUUGUUGACCACCGUGAUUUAGUUAUUUAAUCUUGUUGAAUAUACAUGUAUGCCAGUAUUUGCAUCAAGGAUAUUGAUCUGAUUGCAGCAAAGUCAUAAAGUGUUUUUAUUGUCUAUAACUUGUUCCUUUUAAGUUUUCUCCAACCUUGAUUUUUUUAAGUCUUUGGAGACUUAUUGUUUUUGUACGGUUUCUUCUUUUUCUUCAUUCCAACUCUGAACUAGAGAUGGCUGAACAGAAUUGUACAAAACUCUAGGAUACGAUAGGCCUGCAUAUCUAGAUGUGCACGCUGGUUUGAUUUUACUCAUUUGGGGUUGGCCAACCACUUUUCUGGGGGGGUCAAAAGAUUGUGGGGUCAAACAUUGAACCUUAUGGGAAAAAUCUUAGACUCUAUUGUAAAUGGUUAUAACUUGAAAACGGACAAAGAUAAUGAUAUAGGGUUUUCAGAAUCAUAUAUUGACUGUUACAGGCAAUAUAAAGGGUUUAUUAGAUCUGACCCCUGGGGUCAUCCCCACCCCCCAAGAAUUGGAAAUGACCAUAUAUCUCAGAAACUGUUAGAAUCCUGACCCCUAAACAAUAUAUAUUCUUGUUCCAUGUGUUAAGGGGCAUCAAAUGGUAUAUAGAUAAUGAGCCCCGGGGGUGGUCCUGACCCCCUCAAACAGGAAGUGCACGAAUAACUUGAAAAUGGUUAAGAUCCCCACCUCUAAACCAUAUAUAAUCUUGUUCCUUGUGUCACGGCGCAUCAUAUGGUAUGUAGGUCAUAGGCCCUUGGGGUGGUCCUGACCCCUCUCAAACAGAAAGUGCCCAAAUAUUUUGAAAACGGUUAAGAUCCUCACCCCUAAACCAUAUAUAUUCUUGUUCCAUGUGUUAAGGGGCAUCAAAUGGUAUGUAGGUCAUGGGCCCCAUGGGGUGGUCCUGACCCCCCUCAAACAGGAAGUGCACAAAUAUCUUGAAAACGGUUAAGAUCCCUACCCCUUAACCAUAUAUAUUCUUGUUCCUUGGGUCAUGUUGGUAUACCUGAUAGUAUAGUAAAGGACCUCUGGGGAACAUCAUGAAACUUCAGAAAUAAAAAUAAUCAAGUUCUUAAUCUUUUUGUCUGUAAAGUUUGACUCAUGUGGGUCAUCCCUACUCCCAAUGAUGGCCUCAUUCGUUUGGGAGACUUUAUAAUUGCCCCCAUUAUAAUUACAUCUUGUUUUGUAUUAAAAUUUAAAGUUUGAUGUGUAAACAUUGAAAUUGAACUAAAAUAUUUGUUUGUUGCAAAUAUUUUUCAUGCAGUAAGAACUAAUAUGGAUACACCAACAGAGCAAUUAUAUUGAAGAUUGCUACCUAAAUAAAACAUAACAAUUUUUCACUGUUUUCUAUAAUUAAAAGCAUUUUUAACCGAAAUUAAUCAAUCUUUUAUUUGAUGUAUUUUAACAUUUUAAGGCCAUUUGGACUUAGAAGUACAUUUAUAUAUAUGCUUUCACAUUUAUGGUGUAGUUGAAUACAAUCUUUCAACCACGAAAAAUUACUGUUUAGCAGCUUAAAAUGUCAAUGACUUUUUAAAUGAUGGUUCACACUCACUUAAAAUUGAUACAUUUGUAAUUUAUUAUACAGGUGAAAGUUAAUUUUGAAGUAAGGCAUUUUUAUGAUUUGCAAUACAUUCUUGAUAAAAUGUCUUCCAAUUUAAUAGAUAAGUGUAAGUAUAUGUAUAGUUGAACAGGUAGCAUAAUAACGCCAGUAUCUUGCCAUGAGAAUAUUUAGACUCUUCUCAUAUAUGUUUUAUUAUUGUUAAAUUUAUUAACUUUUUACGCAAUAUACUAAGAGAUAUAGUACAUGU
rnacentral:misc_RNA from 1 species